rnacentral:rRNA from 1 species
AUUGAACGCUGGCGGCAGGCCUAACACAUGCAAGUCGAACGGUAACAGGAAGAAGCUUGCUUCUUUGCUGACGAGUGGCGGACGGGUGAGUCAUGUCUGGGAAACUGCCUGAUGGAGGGGGAUAACUACUGGAAACGGUAGCUAAUACCGCAUAACGUCGCAAGACCAAAGAGGGGGACCUUCGGGCCGCUUGCCAUCGGAUGUGCCCAGAUGGGAUUAGCUAGUAGGUGGGGUAACGGCUCACCUAGGCGACGAUCCCUAGCUGGUCUGAGAGGAUGACCGGCCACACUGGAACUGAGACACGGUCCAGACUCCUACGGGAGGCAGCAGUGGGGAAUAUUGCACAAUGGGCGCAAGCCUGAUGCAGCCAUGCCGCGUGUAUGAAGAAGGCCUUCGGGUUGUAAAGUACUUUCAGCGGGGAGGAAGGGAGUUAAGUUAAUACCUUUACUCAUUGACGUUACCCGCAGAGGAAGCACCGGCUAACUACGUG